rnacentral:tRNA from 1 species
GCGGUGGUAGUUCAGUCGGGUAAGCGCCCGCUUGAGAAGCGGGCGCUUACCCGCCAGAGAUGUGGGUUCGAAUCCCGGUGCUGACA